rnacentral:rRNA from 1 species
CGGGAAACCGGAGCUAAUACCGGAUAAUAUAUUGAACCGCAUGGUUCAAUAGUGAAAGACGGUUUUGCUGUCACUUAUAGAUGGAUCCGCGCUGCAUUAGCUAGUUGGUAAGGUAACGGCUUACCAAGGCAACGAUGCGUAGCCGACCUGAGAGGGUGAUCGGCCACACUGGAACUGAGACACGGUCCAGACUCCUACGGGAGGCAGCAGCG